CCUACUGGCGGCUGCAGUGGGGAAUAUUGGGCAAUGGAGGUAACUCUGACCCAGCCACGCCGCGUGAGUGAUGAAGGUUUUCGGAUUGUAAAACUCUUUAAGUGGGGACGUAGAAAGUGACUGUACCCACAGAAUAAGUCUCGGCUAACUACGUGCCAGCAGCCGCGGUAAUACGUCGGCGGCAAUCGUUAUCCGGAAUGACUGGGCGUCAAGGGUGCGUAGGUGGUUUGGCAAGUUAGUAGCGUAAUUCCGUGGCUCAACUACGGAACUACUACUAAAACUGCUGGGCUUGAGUGCAGGAGUGGCAGAUGGAAUUCCUGGUGUAGCGGUGGAAUGCGUAGAUAUUAGGAGGAACACCAGUGGCGAAGGCGAUAUGCUGGACUGUAACUGACACUGAGGCACGAAAGCGUGGGGAGCAAACAGGAUUAGAUACCCCGGUAGUC
rnacentral:rRNA from 1 species